rnacentral:rRNA from 1 species
UACAGGGGGUGCAAACGUUUGCUCGGAAUUAUUGGGCGUAAAGCGCGCGUAGGCGGCCGCUUAAGUCGGAUGUGAAAGCCCCUGGCUCAACUGGGGAAGUGCACCCGAAACUGAGUGGCUUGAGUACUAAAGAGGGUCGCGGAAUUCCCGGUGUAGAGGUGAAAUUCGUAGAUAUCGGGAGGAACACCGGUGGCGAAGGCGGCGACCUGGGUAGAUACUGACGCUGAGGCGCGAAAGCGUGGGGAGCAAACA